AACUCGGUCUGGUCCCCUUCCAGAGUGUGGGAGCUUAGUUCUUUCGGUCUUUGCAAUAAAUCUUGCUGCUGCUUACUCUUUGGGUCCACACCGCCUUUAUGAGCUGUAACACUCACUGUGAAGGUCUGCAGCUUCACUCCUGAGCCAGUGAGACCACGAACCCACCAGAAGGAAGAAACUCUGAACACAUCCGAACAUCAGAAGGAACAAACUCUGGACGCGCCGCCUUUUUAAGAACUGUAACACUCACUGUGAGGGUCCGCGGCUUCAGUCUUGAAGUCAGUGAGACCAAGAACCCACCGAUUCCGGACACACUUUCAGAAUGUGACGAGGACCUGAGGGUCUGGAAAUAACUGGGAAAGAAAAGCCUUGUGGAAAGAAGACAUCUCCAGGGAAAACAUGCUGCUUCUUCAAAGACUCCAAUUUCAGAUGGCAAAAUGCAUGGAAGCUGAGAUGGACCUUCUGGAGUUUUCGAUAAACCACUGUAGCUCAGUCAGAGGUCCAAUUAUGAUGAUACCCACACAGCCCGGUCCUCCCACAGCCUACAUCCAAUCCUCUGAGGAAGCUGAGUGGCACUGCCUUUAUUCACCACAGAUGCUACAGAAUCAGCAGGAAGGAAGACUGUGAAAAGGAAAAAUGCACUCUUUUAAGAGAUGGAGUCUUGCUAUAUUUCCCAAGAUGGACUUGAACUCCUGGGCUCAAGCAGUCCUCCCACCUCAGCCUUCCAAGUUGCUGGAACUAUAUAGGUGCACACCACUGUGUCCGGCUAAAUUUGUGUAUUUCCAUGGAUGUAUAAUAUAUUUACAUAUCUACUAUCUUUCAUCAAAUUUUUUGUAAAAUAGACUCUGAAUUGGAGAUUUGCAUACAGGAAGUUUAAUGGUUUAUCCUCUGGAACAAUGUCUGUAAGAGAGGGAGGAAAGCAGGAAUGUUCCAAGGGAAAAGUUGAAGCAUGGUGAGUUACAACAGAGGCAUACAUUGUUCAGUUCCACAUGGAAAUUUAGAUCUUGGAUGGACCUUCCAACUGGUGUUGAUUUGAUAUCAGGAGCCCCUCUGUAACCACACAUUGACUAGUGACUGGAUAUAAGCUGCCCCUUGGGGAGAGGGCUGGACAUCAGACAAGGCAGAUCCAUGGAAAUUCUAAGAAAGUGACUCAAAUGUGGGCUAUCAGCAGCCAAUCUUCUAUGCAUUUGAUGGAAUAAGUGCCUCUGUCCUGAGGAGGUGACCACAACCUUCACUACAGUUCAUCUCUGUGCCACAUAGAUUUACUUCCCUGGUAGGAUGACCAAUAGGUGGGUUGUAGACCCAGUGAAAAUAUUCUGAGUCAAAGCUGCAUCUUCAUUUAUUUAUUAAAAUAUUCUGAAUCAAAGCCACAUCUUCAUUAUUAUCUGCUAUCCAUAAGUCUCACUUGAAUAGUGGGGCCAUGAUACACUUGAGGACCCCACAAAAGUCCUUGAAAUAACUUAGUAUUCUCUGUCCCUAGUAUUCUGUAUUCCCAUUUUACAGUUACCCAAGUAAAUGGGUAUAGGGUUUAUUUUUGUUUAAAUGAAAGUAUUGAGAAAAUCAUUACUGUAGACGGUUGCCAUGGUGUUGCAGAAUUUUUCCUCCUAAAAACUCAGAUUCUCCUUCUAUCAAUGGUUUCUGGUUGUGCAAAUUGACCCAGGUCCCGAAAUACAGUUUAUUAUAUAAAUACACCACAUUCUAGGUGAUAGAUGUUGAGAUUAUUUCUACUUUUUGGCUAUUAUGUAUAAUGAUGUUAUAAACAAGUGUGUUCAUGUAUUUGAACAUGUUUUUCUCUCUCUUGGGUAGAUAUCUAAAGGCAGACUUGCUAAGUUUUAUGUCAAGCAUCGAUUUCAUUUUUAAUAAGCUGCUAUAACUGUUUUUCAAAAUGGCUGUACCAUUUUCCCUUCUACCAAUAAUGCAUGAAGGUUUGUGUCCCCAAAAUCACCAACAGUUAUGUCAGCUGUUUUGAUGUUAGCCAUUCUAACCGAGUUUAGCUCGUUAUAGUUUGUAGUUCCUUAAAGAGUAACAAUAUUGAGUAUUUUUAAUGUACUUUCUUUUGCCCUUAGUGUAUCUUCAUUGCUGAAGUUUCUAUCCAACUAUGUUGCCCAUUUAAACAAAUUGGGAUGUUUGUCAUCUUAUUACUGAAUUAUAAGAAUUCACUGUAAAUUCUGGAUACAAGUCCUUCGUCAGUUAUAUAUAUUGAAAUUUUUUUAUCAGUCCAUAGCUUUUCAUCUUGCAACUCUUUUGAACAGCAAAAUUUUUCAAUUUUGAUGAAGUUCAAUUAUCAAUGUUUUCUUUUAUUGAUUUUGCUUUUGGUGGUAUAACUAAGAAAUAUUUGCUUAACCCCAGUUCAGAAAUAUUUUUCUCCUAAGUUUUCUUAUACAAAUUCUAUAGUUUCUGUUCUUACAUUUAAGUCUAUGAUUCACUUAAAGUUAAUUUUUGUGCACAGCAUGAUUUAAGAGUCAAAUCUUAAUUUUUGUAUAUGAAUAUCCAAUUUGUUGAAGACUGUCCAUUCUCCAUUAAAGUACCUUGGCA
rnacentral:lncRNA from 1 species